CUGCUUCUCAAAAGAAAAUUUUCAAAACCUUUCUCAAAACUCUCUCCUUUCCUUCCAUUAUCUGGCCAAUGCUCCGGCGCCGGUCCGCCACCCUACACGACGGCCGGAGCUUCAACUUUUUGACCGAUCUUGUCUCCUUAACCCCGAUUUAAAACCCAAAACUUUAGAAAAAGCCUUUUAAAAAUAAAAUAAAACAAAUAAACCCUCGGUUUCCUUCCCUGAUCUCAAGAAAGGUAAUGUUUUUUUGUGUUUUCUUUGAAUAUAUAUGUAUAUAUGUGUGUUAUACUCAAAAUACAUAUGAGAAAAAAAAACGAUAUAACUCUGUAAAGAAAAAUAGUAUUUUGAUUUGCUUUUAUGUGUUUUUCUUCGUGUAUAUUCGUCUCUUAAAAAAAAUUUACAUUCAUGUCUUUGUGGCUUUUUAUAGCCUAAAAAAAUACAAAAAUUUUGCUUGUUUUUUGUUGCUAUUGCCAAUUUGCUGCUGUUGUGUGUUUGUCCUUUCUGUAGGUACAGAGGAGGACGUCGAUGUACGGGGGUGGUACGGCGGCGCUGACGUGGCGAGGUGGAGCAGGGGGUGCGGCGGCUAGGGCAAAGAGGCUAGGGUUUUUUUGUGCUAAAAAUGUUUACAAUUUUGGGCCAUUUGGGCCUCCUAGGGUUUUUAGGAAAUUUGAGUUUCUAUUUUUUUUUGAUUUUGGGCUUGUAAUGGGUUUAAUUGAUUUAGGCUUGAUGUAAAUGGACUUUGACUUGGACCUUUUAAUUUAUUUGGUUUUAUUUAUUGUUUUUGGUUUCUAUUUUCUGUUUUUGUUUUUGUAUGGGCCCGGGCAGAUUUGGGCCUGUACAAAUUUCAUAUAAAAACUAGUGAGAGUUUUGCCAACAAUCUUUUGACCUAGCGGCAAGAAUAUUGUG
rnacentral:lncRNA from 1 species